rnacentral:rRNA from 1 species
UACGAAGGGGACUAGCGUUGUUCGGAUUACUGGGCGUAAAGCGCGCGUAGGCGGAUCGCUAAGUCAGGGGUGAAAUCCCAGGGCUCAACCCUGGAACUGCCUUUGAUACUGACGAUCUGGAGAUCGGGAGAGGUUGGUGGAAUUCCGAGUGUAGAGGUGAAAUUCGUAGAUAUUCGGAAGAACACCAGUGGCGAAGGCGGCUCACUGGUCCGGUACUGACGCUGAGGUGCGAAAGCGUGGGGAGCAAACAGG